ACUCAACUUUGAUCACAUAAAUUCUCAAAAAGAAAACAAGUCUUUAACCCAUGGCCCUCUCCCCAAAACUCCCCUGUUUCUUCAUCUUCCUCAUCAUCUCUCUAACCUCUGCUACCAAAGACAUCCAUGACCUUCUCCCAGACUACGGGUUCCCUAAAGGGCUGAUCCCAAACGCUGUCGUUUCAUACACUAUAUCAUCCAACGGUGACUUCUCUGUCAUUCUAAGUCACCCAUGUUAUGUCCAGUUUGAUCAGCUUGUUUAUUAUGACAAGUUAGUCAAAGGCAAGUUGACCUAUGGGUCUGUCACUGAUGUCUCGGGCAUUCAGGCCAAGAAGUUUUUCAUAUGGGUUAAUGUUAAUGGGAUGACUCUUGAUUCUGGUUCCAACAUGAUUGAGUUUCAUGUUGGUGGCUUGUCUCAAAAGUUGCCAGCUGAUCAGUUUGUUGAUAUUCCGGACUGUAAGAAUAAGGCUUGUCAACAAAAUAAUACUGUACUUCAUCAAACAAUUUGAGCAGGUCCAGGCCAUAUCUACAGCUACCACGGCUCCAAGCCAGAUUUGUUCUGAGGCGAUGACUUUGCCUAAUGCUUAUUUUCAUAUAUCUAUCAUUUAAUGAAUUGAAAAACUUAAGAUUCACCACAAUACCACAUACUUGUAGGAUAAGGAUUGUGUGAGGUGGAGAUGUACAUGUCUUUCUCCAUGUCUACAUUGUAACAUUGUAAAUGCCGAAGUCUUGUCUUAUAUAAUGCGUAUAUGCUGAUCUAAAGAAUAUUUUGAGUUUGGGUGAA